rnacentral:rRNA from 1 species
AGUGAACGCUGGCGGUAGGCCUAACACAUGCAAGUCGAACGGCAGCACAGUAAGAGCUUGCUCUUACGGGUGGCGAGUGGCGGACGGGUGAGGAAUACAUCGGAAUCUACUUUUUCGUGGGGGAUAACGUAGGGAAACUUACGCUAAUACCGCAUACGACCUACGGGUGAAAGCAGGGGAUCUUCGGACCUUGCGCGAUUGAAUGAGCCGAUGUCGGAUUAGCUAGUUGGCGGGGUAAAGGCCCACCAAGGCGACGAUCCGUAGCUGGUCUGAGAGGAUGAUAGGCCACACUGGAGCUUGGACACGGUCCAGGCUCCUACGGGAGGCAGCAGUGGGGAAUAUUGGACAAUGGGCGCAAGCCUGAUCCAGCCAUACCGCGUGGGUGAAGAAGGCCUUCGGGUUGUAAAGCCCUUUUGUUGGGAAAGAAAAGCAGCAGGUUAAUACCCCGCUGUUCUGACGGUACCCAAAGAAUAAGCACCGGCUAACUUCGUG